CCAAAUCCGUCGGGGGGCCAUUUGGCUGAGAGGUAGCGAUACCGACCCGUCGAACCUGAUCCGGGCAAUUCCGGCGUAGGGAACGGGUAACAGUGCGAA
rnacentral:ncRNA from 2 species